rnacentral:rRNA from 1 species
AUUUGUAGAGGAUGUUUCGGGAGCGGCGCCGGUCUAAGUCCCUUGGAACAGGGCGUCAUAGAGGGUGAGAAUCCCGUAUGUGACCGGCGACCAACCCCAUGUGAAACCCCUUCGACGAGUCGAGUUGUUUGGGAAUGCAGCUCAAAAUGGGUGGUAAAUUUCAUCUAAAGCUAAAUACCGGCCAGAGACCGAUAGCGCACAAGUAGAGUGAUCGAAAGAUGAAAAGCACUUUGGAAAGAGAGUCAAACAGUACGUGAAAUUGUUGAAAGGGAAGCGCUGGCAACCAGACCUGUCCGCGGGCUUCAGCCCCCGUUCUCGGGGGUGUACUUGUCCGCGAUCAGGCCAGCAUCGGUUCGGGCGGUUGGAUAAAGGCCUUGGGAAUGUAGCUUCCUCCGGGAAGUCUUAUAGCCCUCGGCGCAAUGCGGCCAGCCCGGACCGAGGACCGCGCUUCGGCUAGGAUGCUGGCGUAAUGGUUGUCAGCGACCCGUCUUGAAACACGGACCAAGGAGUCUAAUACUUAUGCGAGUGUUUGGGUGUCAAACCCAUGCGCGUAAUGAAAGUGAACGGAGGUGAGAACCCACAAGGGCGCAUCAUCGACCGAUCCAGAUGUCUUCGGAUGGAUUUGAGUACGAGCAUAAUUGUUGGGACCCGAAA